CUGACUCAGAGGAUGAUGAUCAGCACGACAGUGCCUUCUGCCUGUGCUAGUACUAUGUGUUUAUAGGGGAGAUGUUAUAAGGUGACGGUAACCAGUUCAGCUCCACCCCUUGAUCUGUUCACCAGGCAUUAUGGAGACUGGAAAGACCAAGAGAGCAAAUGGAGGAAGGAGCAUAUUAAUUGGGGUUGUCCUGAUGCUUCUCCUGUGAGAUAACCACCCUGGGAACACGAGGGGCUGUGGGAAGCAGAGUGGGAUGUCUGCACUCUUGACUUGGACUACAGAAGGCUGCACAUAUCUAGGCAUGGAGACCCUGCAGCAGUUUGCUCACCAGAUUUGUGGACUUUACCCAGUGGACUAUGGAGUUUGUUCCACCUAUCUGUAUUUCUGGAUUGAACUCCAAUCUCAUAUUCAUAAUUGAUGUAUCUUGAAAAUAUCCUCUUCUGCUCGACUGGCUCUCUGUUACUACUGACACUGACACAGGGCCAUUAUUUUUAUGCAGUUCCUGUAGCUUGUAAAGGGAACUUAAGAGUGUGUCCAUCAAGGAAGAGUUACCUGUGUUCAUAACCAAGAGGAGGACUGAGAGUUGAGAGUCUUCCCUCACUC